rnacentral:lncRNA from 1 species
GUUGGUCUGAGAAGCUCCAGCUCAUACUCCGGUGGAACCCCAUACUGAAUCCUUAUCAGUGAGAGCUCAUCCAGAGUCAAAGAACUGAGGAUGGUAUCCGGUGCAAAGACCUGACAAGGUUCAAUCCCGAUUAUGGGUCCGUCUAUGGUACAAGGACUCUAGGAAACUGGGGCUGAUGAACUCCUGGAACCACUAGAAGAGGAGAUAUCGGAAGACAUUUUAGAUCAAAUAGAAG